rnacentral:rRNA from 1 species
AUUGAACGCUGGCGGCAGGCCUAACACAUGCAAGUCGAACGAGAGGCGGACGGGUGAGUAAUGCCUGGGGAAAUGCCGGACGGAGGGGGAUGACUACUGGAAACGGUAGCUAAUACCGCAUACCAUCAGAUGUGCCCAGAUGGGAUUGGCUUGUUGGUGGGGUAACGGCUCACCAAAGCGACGAUCCCUAGCUGGUCUGAGUGGAUGACCAGCCACACCGCAACUGAGACACGGUCCAGACGCCAACGGGAGGCAGCAGUGUGGAAUAUUGCACAAUGGGCUCAAGCCUGAUGCAGCCAUGCCGCGUGUAUGAAGAAGGCCUUCGGGUUUUAAAGUACUUUCAGCGGGGAGGCGUUACCCGCAGAAGAAGCACCGGCUAACUCCGUGCCAGCAGCCGCGGUAAUUC